AUAACGUGAUAGUCAACCUAUUUACGCUGGCUGCUGGGGAUAGACUGAGCGACUUCGCCGCUUAUGUGUGACAGGAUGCAGGCAAUGCGGCGGUGACGCAUACGGUUCUGCCGCAGCGGCGACGCCGCAUUGUGUGACACCAGCGUUCUACAAAAGGAAGAAAUGUGUCUGUGCAUGCUUUUGUGAACAUCAGUGCAUUGUGUGUGCUUGUAUAGGGAAUUGUAUGAAUAUUAAACUUAUUAAUAACACCUUACAAAACUGAAAA